UUUAUGGAGAGUUUGAUCCUGGCUCAGGAUGAACGCUGGCGGCGUGCCUAAUACAUGCAAGUCGAGCGAACGGACGAGAAGCUUGCUUCUCUGAUGUUAGCGGCGGACGGGUGAGUAACACGUGGAUAACCUACCUAUAAGACUGGGAUAACUUCGGGAAACCGGAGCUAAUACCGGAUAAUAUUUUGAACCGCAUGGUUCAAAAGUGAAAGACGGUCUUACUGUCACUUAUAGAUGGAUCCGCGCUGCAUUAGCUAGUUGGUAAGGUAACGGCUUACCAAGGCAACGAUGCAUAGCCGACCUGAGAGGGUGAUCGGCCACACUGGAACUGAGACACGGUCCA
rnacentral:rRNA from 1 species